UACGUAGGAGGCGAGCGUUGUCCGGAGUUACUGGGCGUAAAGGGUGCGCAGGCGGCCGCGCGCGUUGGGGAUGAAAUCUCCCUGCUCAACGGGGAGGGUGUUUCCAAGACGGCGUGGCUUGAGGCUCGGGGGGGGGCGUGGAAUUCCGGGUGGAGCGGUGAAAUGCGUAGAGAUCCGGAGGAACACCGACGGCGUAAGCAGCGCCCUAGACGAGUCCUGACGCUCAGGCACGAAAGCUGGGGGAGCAAACAGG
rnacentral:rRNA from 1 species